AUGGACCAAUCGUCCACUCUGGUUCCUGUGCGCCGUCCAUGCGCACCUGAUGGCUGCUCGCUGAGGUUUGUCGCA
rnacentral:sRNA from 1 species